rnacentral:rRNA from 1 species
GACGAACGCUGGCGGCGUGCUUAACACAUGCAAGUCGAACGGAAAGGCCCUGCUUUUGUGGGGUGCUCGAGUGGCGAACGGGUGAGUAACACGUGAGUAACCUGCCCUUGACUUUGGGAUAACUUCAGGAAACUGGGGCUAAUACCGGAUAGGAGCUCCUGCUGCAUGGUGGGGGUUGGAAAGUUUCGGCGGUUGGGGAUGGACUCGCGGCUUAUCAGCUUGUUGGUGGGGUAGUGGCUUACCAAGGCUUUGACGGGUAGCCGGCCUGAGAGGGUGACCGGCCACAUGGGGACUGAGAUACGGCCCAGACUCCUACGGGAGGCAGCAGUGGGGAAUAUUGCACAAUGGGCGGAAGCCUGAUGCAGCAACGCCGCGUGCGGGAUGACGGCCUUCGGGUGGUAAACCGCUUUAGCCUGUGACGAAGCGUGAGUGACGGUAAUGGGUAAAGAAGCACCGGCUAACUACGUG